rnacentral:lncRNA from 1 species
CGGGACGCGCAUCCCGUGCGACCGGGACGCGUGUCCGGGCCGUUCCCGUUUGCAACGCUCCUCGGUACUUUGGAACGCUUGGGGUGGGCUUUGGGCGGAUGCCCCGCUGGGGUGGUAGGGAGGGGGGGCUGCUGCUGCCGCGGCGGGCCUUCCGCUCCACUCCGCACAAGCCCGCCGCGCGCACUCGCGGCAGUUAGAUGUAUGCCCUAGAAGCCAAUUUGGCUGACACAUUGUUGAUUCUAGGGACAUAAUUUUGU